UUUCCGUAGGUGAACCUGCGGAAGGAUCAUUAAUGAGUUGUCAUGGUGUUGGAUGCUGGCAGCCAAUUUUUGGAUGCAUGUGCUUGCCCUAACAAUCAUCUUCCAAACACCUGUGCACAUUUUUGAGGGUGUCUUGAGUUGGUUGCCGCUCUUGGGUGAUUUUCUCACAUUCCCUUAAAUCAUUAUACACUAUUAACAAUGUUGAACGUGCUCUGUGCCGCAAGGCUAUUAAUAUAAUACAACUUUUAACAACGGAUCUCUUGGCUCUC
rnacentral:misc_RNA from 1 species